rnacentral:rRNA from 1 species
AUUGAACGCUGGCGGCAUGCCUUACACAUGCAAGUCGAACGGCAGCACGGGAGCAAUCCUGGUGGCGAGUGGCGAACGGGUGAGUAAAGUAUCGGAACGUGCCCAGUCGUGGGGGAUAACGUAGCGAAAGUUACGCUAAUACCGCAUACGAUCUAUGGAUGAAAGCGGGGGAUCGCAAGACCUCGCGCGAUUGGAGCGGCCGAUAUCAGAUUAGGUAGUUGGGGGGGUAAAGACUCACCAAGCCGACGAUCUGUAGCUGGUCUGAGAGGACGGACAGCCACACUGGGACAGAGACACGGCCCAGACUCCGACGGGAGGCAGCAGUGGGGAAUUUUGGACAAGGGGCGAAAGACUGAUCCAGCCAUGCCGCGUGCAGGAUGAAGGCCCUCGGGUUGUAAACUGCUUUUGUACGGAACGAAAAGGUCUCUCUUAAUACGGGGGGCUCAUGACGGUACCGUAAGAAUAAGCACCGGCUAACUACGUGCCAGCCGCCGCGGUAA